AAUGACUCCUCCCACCAUAUUAUGAAGUUCCCCAAGUUUUGGACUCAGUCCGAUAUCGAUUGGUCCAUAAAAUCGGACAAUUCAGGUUCGUACGAAGUUUGUUCUGAAAUAGACUGGUUGGUGUAUUGCAUAGUUCUAGACGUUGGAUUUCACUCAAAACCAACCAAAGCACUCCUCCCACUAUAUUAUGAUGUUCCCCAACUUUAGGCCUCAAUCCCAUAAUGAUUGGUCCAUGAAAUUGGACAAUUCAGGUUCUUACGAAGUUCAUUCUGAAAUGGAGUGGUUGGUGUAUUGCCUAG
rnacentral:lncRNA from 1 species